UGGGGAAUUUUGGACAAUGGUGGAAACCCUGAUCCAGCCAUCCCGCGUGUGCGAUGAAGGCCUUCGGGUUGUAAAGCACUUUUGGCAGGAAAGAAACGUCAUGGGUUAAUACCCCGUGAAACUGACGGUACCUGCAGAAUAAGCACCGGCUAACUACGUGCCAGCAGCCGCGGUAAUACGUAGGGUGCAAGCGUUAAUCGGAAUUACUGGGCGUAAAGCGUGCGCAGGCGGUUCGGAAAGAAAGAUGUGAAAUCCCAGAGCUCAACUUUGGAACUGCAUUUGUAACUACCGGGCUAGAGUGUGUCAGAGGGAGGUGGAAUUCCGCGUGUAGCAGUGAAAUGCGUAGAUAUGCGGAGGAACACCGAUGGCGAAGGCAGCCUCCUGGGAUAACACUGACGCUCAUGCACGAAAGCGUGGGGAGCAAACAGG
rnacentral:rRNA from 1 species